GAUGAAUAUUAUAUUUUUUAAUCCAAACAAUUCUGUGUUCAUUUCUACACCCAAGACACUUGCCACCUCUUGCUUAGGCUGCUGCUGCAUUGUCUCCAUGGAGGUAGCAACAGGGUACUGUGUAUAUGGAAGGAGGUUCAGAACACAAAGGAUGAAUUUUGCUUGGUAGUCCAUUCAAGAUGAACUGGCCAACUCAAGACCAUCAGAGAGCAAGGUUGAAUAUGGUGGAGUUGAAAUGUGGAAAGAGUCCAAGAAUGUGAUGUGCUGAUGAGUCACUGCCUGACCCUGGACUUAACUCCAGUUGAUUUGUUACAUGAAAGACAUGUCUAUUGGGGAGGUGGAGGAUUGGGAAGGAGAGUGGUUAUGAACUUGGAGGGUAUUCAUCACAGUUUUUUGCCUGACUUCACACUCAACGCAAGCAGCUUAUUGCUGUUCUCUUGUGCAUGGUUAAUGCUGGAAACAAUAACUCUUAAGACUUCCACAGCCUCGAAGGGAAAUGGAUGUAACAGGGAUUGAUGGAAAGCAGCACCAGAAGCCUGAUUUCACUUUGCAUCAGCAACAUUUUAUAUUUAGAAAAACUAGCCAUGAAAAGGGAGUUUAAUUUUCUGAUUAAAUUAAAAAUAU